rnacentral:rRNA from 1 species
GCCAAAAAUCUAGCCCUCCCCCUCCCCCCCCCCCCAAAAACACUAAUUCACUUUUUACAAAACAAACCAUUUUCACAAUUAAGUAUAGGAGAUAAAAAAAUUUACUGGCGCUAUAAAACUAGUACCGCAAGGGAAAGCUGAAAUAUAAAUGAAAUAAACGCUCAAGCAUAAAAAAGUAAAGAUUUCUCCCUGUACCUUUUGCAUCAUGGUUUAACUAGUCCUUACCAAGCAGAAAGAAUUUAAGUUUGACUUCCCGAAACUAAGUGAGCUACUCCAAGGCAGCCUCAUGGGCCAACCCGUCUCUGUUGCAAAAGAGUGGGAAGACCUUAGAGUAGGGGUGACAGACCAAACGAACUUAGUGAUAGCUGGUUACUUGAUAAAAGAAUUUUAGUUCUACCUAAAGCCCAAAUAAAGUUUUAUAAACUAACAUUCAUGCUUUAGAGUUAUUCAAAUAAGGUACAGCCUAUUUGAAUAAGGAAACAACCUAGACUAAUGGGUAAGACAUCUACAGUGUAUUAAAGUGGGCCUAAAAGCAGCCACCUUCAAUAAUAGCGUCAAAGCUUACCUAUACAAGUACAUUCAAUUUCAUAUCCUAAUCCAAACCCUUUAUUUUCAUCAAGUAAUUCUAUAUAUUUAUAGAACAUAAAAUGUUAAAACUAGUAACAAGAAGUAAACCCUUCUCUUAAAUGCAAGUGUAGGCCAGGAAGGAUAAACCACUGUCAAUUAACACCAAUGAUUUUCAAUUAACAACACCACAAGAGAACCCUAAUAAAACAAAUGUUAAACUAACACAAGAGCAUUUCAAGAAAGAUUUAAAGAAAAAGAAGGAACUCGGCAAACACCAACCCCGCCUGUUUACCAAAAACAUCGCCUCUUGCCAAAUAUAAGAGGUCCAGCCUGCCCAGUGACCUAGUUCAACGGCCGCGGUAUCCUAACCGUGCGAAGGUAGCGUAAUCACUUGUUCUUUAAAUGGGGACUAGUAUGAAUGGCAUCACGAGGGUUACACUGUCUCCUUUUUUUGAUCAGUGAAACUAAUCUUCCCGUGAAGAAGCGGGAAUAUCUUUAUAAGACGAGAAGACCCUAUGGAGCUUUAAACAAAUUAACACCUGCUGCCCGAGAUUGUUCUUUCAGAAAUAUAAAACAUAGCAUAGCAUGAUGAUUAAUAGUUUUUGAUUGGGGUGAUCACGGAGUAAAAAACAACCUCCAUGCCGAAAGGGGUUUUACCCUGAGCAAAAAACCACAACUUUAAGCACUAAAAAAUUAACGUUUAUUGACCCAGUAUAAUGAUCAACGAACCAAGUUACCCUAGGGAUAACAGCGCAAUCCACUUCAAGAGCUCCUAUCGACAAGUGGGUUUACGACCUCGAUGUUGGAUCAGGGUAUCCCAGUGGUGCAGCCGCUACUAACGGUUCGUUUGUUCAACGAUUAAAACCCU